ACGUAGGGCGCAAGCGUUAUCCGGAAUUAUUGGGCGUAAAGAGCUCGUAGGCGGUUUGUCGCGUCUGCCGUGAAAGUCCGGGGCUCAACUCCGGAUCUGCGGUGGGUACGGGCAGACUAGAGUGAUGUAGGGGAGACUGGAAUUCCUGGUGUAGCGGUGAAAUGCACAGAUAUCAGGAGGAACACCGAUGGCGAAGGCAGGUCUCUGGGCAUUAACUGACGCUGAGGAGCGAAAGCAUGGGGAGCGAACAGG
rnacentral:rRNA from 1 species